rnacentral:rRNA from 1 species
UACAGGGGGUGCAAACGUUGCCCGGAAUCAUUGGGCGUAAAGAGCGUGUAGGCGGCUCGGUAAGUCCGCUGUGAAAGUCCAGGGCUCAACCCUGGAAUGCCGGUGGAAACUGUCGAGCUAGAGUCCGGAAGAGGCGAGUGGAAUUCCUGGUGUAGCGGUGAAAUGCGCAGAUAUCAGGAGGAACACCAAUGGCGAAGGCAGCUCGCUGGGACGGUACUGACGCUGAGACGCGAAAGCGUGGGGAGCAAACAGG